GGUGUUGCCUAUAAACAAAUGAUGACUAAAUGCAUUUUUGUCACAAGAAUUUAGAAACUUUACUUUCCACGCCACUUGGUGAUCAAAACCGAAAUCUUAGGCAUCAGCUGUUUGAACUCAAAAUUUGUUCUUAGUCGAGAUCCUCAGAAAGACCAAAUCCUUGGAGGUGAUAUACUGAUAAGAUACUGAUCAUGGCAAGACUUCGUUCAGUGAGCUUGUUUUGUUUAGUAUUAGCAUGUGUUAGCGUCUUCAGCCAGAGUGCUUCCAGUUCAACCGCUGCGAUAUCAACAGUCGCCACAACUUCGGCUAAUGGAUCAGUCACAGCAGUAGGGGCAACGGCCUUGGGAGUAAACACCACUUCGACGGUCUCCACACCGACUCCCUCGCCAACUUCAGCGACGUCUUCCUUGAACAUGGGCCUCUUGCAACCUGGCCUGUGGAUGGCCAUAUUGGUUGCCAUGGUAACCAUCAACAAGGUGUAAGCUAUUUCAAGCAUGGAAAUAGAUUUGAUCAUCUCCGAUAACCGACUGCAUAAAAAGAAUCCAUGUAAGAUAACGACCGUAGGAGAAAUACACUGUAAUGUGUAUGGCACUUCUCUUCAAUUAUUUUAUGAGUGUAUUUUUAUACUUAGUAAAGAAUGGGUAAAUUAACUGAAUGUCAUAUACUGUUAAGAAAAUAGCUUGUUAAUUUUAAACUAUGUAAAUUAUUGAACAUAAAACAGAACAUUGUUCGUUAACCUUAAUUUUCUAUAUUGAUGAUUUAAGUUAAUGUUGAUGUAUACAGUUGUCUUUUCAAGACAGAAAUAUGUGACCAGACGUGACAGAAGAGAAGAUGAAUAGUGAGCUCUGUGUCAAAACCAUGUGUAGUCUUGUGACUUUAUUUGCUUUAUAUGCAUUGCAUUAUCCAGGAGAAAAAACUCACAGAAACCAACAUUCAGUAAGAGAUGGACCAAAAUUGUUUGUGGAGGUACAAGAAGACAUAAUCUCUCUCUCUCUCUCUCUCUCUCUCUCUCUCUCUCUCUCUCUCUCUCUCACACACACACACAGUUCAACAGUGACGUGACAUUGUGUUAGUUGCGCUCUCAGUGGUUACAUCAUUGCAGCGAGUUGUACCCGCUUUAACAUCGCAGCUGCAACCCACCUGACCAACAGUUUUAUCUCCCGGUCAAAGAGUACAACAAUUAUCCAUUCAGUUAGUAUUUUACAAGUGGAGAGAUGGGAUGGGUUGUGUCACAGUUAAGCAAAAGAGUUUCAAGGCUAUCAUAUUCUGGCAUGGUGUGUCGGUUUUUUUUAUAGAAGUCAAUUGAACCACAGGCUAAAAGUCACGAAUGAAGGUCGCAAUGUUUCUGCUGUUUGCCUUUAAGCAUUAUGUCUCUGUUUUUAUAGAGUGACAUAUACUAGUAUACAGUACGGCCCGAUAAAAAAUGAAGUUUGUUCCUCAGCUAAUUUAGGCAAAGUGUCUUGUGUGUUCUUUUGAAGCAUAUCAAAAUGGCGCCAAUAAAUGAGCAAUAAACAUCAACUGAUA